rnacentral:rRNA from 1 species
AACGAACGCUGGCGGCAGGCCUAACACAUGCAAGUCGAGCGAGAUCUUCGGGUCUAGCGGCGGACGGGUGAGUAACGCGUGGGAAUAUGCCCUUCUCUGCGGAAUAGCCUCGGGAAACUGAGCGUAAUACCGCAUACGCCCUGUGGGGGAAAGAUUUAUCGGAGAAGGAUUAGCCCGCGUUGGAUUAGGUAGUUGGUGGGGUAACGGCCUACCAAGCCGACGAUCCAUAGCUGGGUUGAGAGGAUGAUCAGCCACACUGGGACUGAGACACGGCCCAGACUCCUACGGGAGGCAGCAGUGGGGAAUCUUAGACAAUGGGGGCAACCCUGAUCGAGCCAUGCCGCGUGAGUGAUGAAGGCCUUAGGGUUGUAAAGCUCUUUCAGCUGGGAAGAUAAUGACGGUACCAGCAGAAGAAGCCCCGGCUAACUCCGUG